AAUGAACGCUGGCGGCGUGCCUAAUACAUGCAAGUCGAGCGAACGGACGAGAAGCUUGCUUCUCUGAUGUUAGCGGCGGACGGGUGAGUAACACGUGGAUAACCUACCUAUAAGACUGGGAUAACUUCGGGAAACCGUAGCUAAUACCGGAUAAUAUUUUGAACCGCAUGGUUCAAAAGUGAAAGACGGUCUUGCUGUCACUUAUAGAUGGAUCCGCGCUGCAUUAGCUAGUUGGUAAGGUAACGGCUUACCAAGGCAACGAUGCAUAGCCGACCUGAGAGGGUGAUCGGCCACACUGGAACUGAGACACGGUCCAGACUCCUACGGGAGGCAGCAGUAGGGAAUCUUCCGCAAUGGGCGAAAGCCUGACGGAGCAACGCCGCGUGAGUGAUGAAGGUCUUCGGAUCGUAAAACUCUGUUAUUAGGGAAGAACAUAUGUGUAAGUAACUGUGCACAUCUUGACAGUACCUAAUCAGAAAGCCACGGCUAACUACGUG
rnacentral:rRNA from 1 species